rnacentral:rRNA from 1 species
AGCGAACGCUGGCGGCAGGCUUAACACAUGCAAGUCGAGCGGGCGUAGCAAUACGUCAGCGGCAGACGGGUGAGUAACGCGUGGGAACGUACCUUUUGGUUCGGAACAACCCAGGGAAACUUGGGCUAAUACCGGAUAAGCCCUUACGGGGAAAGAUUUAUCGCCAAAAGAUCGGCCCGCGUCUGAUUAGCUAGUUGGUGAGGUAACGGCUCACCAAGGCGACGAUCAGUAGCUGGUCUGAGAGGAUGAUCAGCCACAUUGGGACUGAGACACGGCCCAAACUCCUACGGGAGGCAGCAGUGGGGAAUAUUGGACAAUGGGCGCAAGCCUGAUCCAGCCAUGCCGCGUGAGUGAUGAAGGCCCUAGGGUUGUAAAGCUCUUUUGUGCGGGAAGAUAAUGACGGUACCGCAAGAAUAAGCCCCGGCUAACUUCGUGCCAGCAGCCGCUGUAAG